UGUGUGUAUGUGUGUUUUUGUUUGAUUUGUAACAAAGCCUUGAAGACAGAUAUACACAGUAAAUCCUCUUUUGCAACCCAGAACUCAUAGCUGAGUAUGAGUUUUUGGUACAUUUAAGAAGGAAUAUG
ensembl:snoRNA